rnacentral:misc_RNA from 1 species
UCACUACUUGCGUAGGCAGUCUGGCUAGAGUCCCCACCAUAACGUGCUGGUAACUAACCACAGGGGUUGCGCUCGUUGCGCCACUUAAGGCAACACCUCACGGCACGAGCUGACGACAGCCAUGCAGCACCUUCCCGGCUGCCCCGAAGGGAAGGCCCGUUUCGGGGCCGGUCAGCCGGGAUUUAGCCCGGGUAAGGUUCUUCGCGUUGCAUCGAAUUAAGCCACAUGCUCCACCGCUUGUGCGGGCCCCCGUCAAUUCCUUUGAGUUUCAUUCUUGCGAACGUACUCCCCAGGUGGUAUGCUUACUGCGUUAACUGCGUCACUGAACCCGAAGGCCCAACAACUAGCAUACAUCGUUUACAGCGUGGACUAC